UACGUAGAGGGCAAGCGUUAUCCGGAUUUACUGGGUGUAAAGGGAGCGUAGACGGCACGGCAAGCCAGAUGUGAAAGCCCGGGGCUCAACCCCGGGACUGCAUUUGGAACUGCUGAGCUAGAGUGUCGGAGAGGCAAGUGGAAUUCCUAGUGUAGCGGUGAAAUGCGUAGAUAUUAGGAGGAACACCAGUGGCGAAGGCGGCUUGCUGGACGAUGACUGACGUUGAGGCUCGAAAGCGUGGGGAGCAAACAGG
rnacentral:rRNA from 1 species